rnacentral:rRNA from 1 species
UGGGGAAUAUUGGACAAUGGGCGAAAGCCUGAUCCAGCCAUGCCGCGUGUGUGAAGAAGGUCUUCGGAUUGUAAAGCACUUUAAGUUGGGAGGAAGGGCAGUAAAUUAAUACUUUGCUGUUUUGACGUUACCGACAGAAUAAGCACCGGCUAACUCUGUGCCAGCAGCCGCGGUAAUACAGAGGGUGCAAGCGUUAAUCGGAAUUACUGGGCGUAAAGCGCGCGUAGGUGGUUAGUUAAGUUGGAUGUGAAAUCCCCGGGCUCAACCUGGGAACUGCAUUCAAAACUGACGAGCUAGAGUAUGGUAGAGGGUGGUGGAAUUUCCUGUGUAGCGGUGAAAUGCGUAGAUAUAGGAAGGAACACCAGUGGCGAAGGCGACCACCUGGACUGAUACUGACACUGAGGUGCGAAAGCGCGGGGAGCAAACAGGAUUAGAUACCCAUGUAGUCCCUGAGCGGGCUGGCAAGGCGCAU